CCCAGGGGCUGGUUACUUGCUUCUGUCUCCAGCAGCCACACAAGCACCAUGAAGAGGCUGCUGAGCUCUCUGCUGGGGCUUCUGUGCACCCAGCCUUGCUGGGUGAAAGGGCAGCAAGUGCAGCAGAGUCCCGUGUCCUUGGUUCUGCAGGAGGGGGAGAAUGCAGAGCUGCAGUGCAACUUUUCCACAGCUUUGAACAGUAUGCAGUGGUUUUACCAACGUCCUGGAGGAAGCCUCGUCAGCCUGUUCUACAAUCCUUCUGGGACAAAGCAGAGUGGGAGACUGACAUCCACAACAGUCAUUGAAGAACGUCGCAGCUCUUUGCACAUUUCCUCCUCCCAGACCACUGACUCAGGCACUUAUCUCUGUGCUAUGGACCCACAGUGCUCCCCACACACCUGCAGCCCACACACAAACCUUCAGCUGG